GUUUUGAUGCCUCCACUGAGGCAUGUUUGCCCCAGGAGAUGUAGGGUCUCCUCCUGGCUUACGUAAAGAACCAGUGUGUUAGUCAGUAUUCUGUUGUAACCCAGACUCCAAAACUCUCCGUGGUUUACAGCAGAGGUUUAAUUCUUGCACUCAAGUCUGCAGCUCAGCUGCCUCUGCUUAGCUCUGCUCCCAUCUUCUCACUCCAGGACUCAGGCUGAAAGAGCAGCAUCAUCUGGGAACUGUGGAGCUUACAGCAGAAAGCAGUAAGGCAAGAGGCCAAGCCAAACUAUGCAAUCUCAUUGAAAGCUUCUGCUCAGACAGCAUAAAUCAUGUCCGCUCACAUUCCAUUGGAAGAAGCGAGUCACAAGGCCAAACCUGCCAACAUACUCCCCUUACUGGAUUGCUCCUGGAAGUCACGUGGCAAACGGUGUUGGACGUGUAAUACCCUCAGACAGAGGCAGAAGAUAGUUGCAAACAAUAACAUAAUCGGUCGUACCAAGAAACAAGUGCUGGAACAAUGGGACUUAAGGAUAAAUCUGCCUUUCACAGCAGGGAGCCCCCCAGUGGGGCGAAUGGAAGAGAAUAUAAAGUUCCCAGGCUCUUGAAUUGAACAAAGACGGAGUCUCAGCUGCAGACAGGCCAAAUUCCAGUGGCAAAAACAAUGUCCUGAGAGCCAGAGCUUCCAACAUCUGGAGCCCAAACAGGGACCUAACAAAAGAUCAGAAUACAAUGACCCCGGGGGAUGCCUGACGAGUGUAUCGUAAGAAUAAUCAUUGUCUCUGGGCAUUGGGUUAUGAGUAAUAUCCUCUUCUGUUUUCUACUGAGUGAUUGUGCUACUUUUUAAUUAGAAAAAGAAGCAUUUUAGAAAAGUAUAUGUGUCCUCCCUGGAGCCGAAAACAGCAUGGGGCAGCAGAAGUGACUGCUUUUCCAUGCCAAACCUCACACUGAUGAGAAAGAUUUGCAUGUCCGAUGACGCACCAAAGAUUCUGUCUGAGGUUGAAGACAAAGAAAGGCCACUAUGAGUUCAGUAUCCAGAAGGUCCUGGAUUUCUUUCCGGCUCACAAGAAGGGAAAUUAGGGAACAUGGGCUUAAACAUGUCUUCACUGGCAUUGAAUCUGUGAGAAGUCAGCCCCACGGUUUUGGUAAUACUAAGUUAAAUACUAGUUUAAAAUGAGUUUGAGCCUAUUUGAACCCAAUUUGAUGUGAUAUGCACAGGGACUUAGGCCCCAGGCUUUGUGUUUUGUUGUUGUUGUUGUUGUUUGUUGUUUGUUUUUUUUUUGAGACGGAGUCUCACUCUGCCACCCAGGCUGGAGUGCAGUGGUGCGAUCUUGACUCACGGCAACCUCCACCUCCUGGGUUCAAGCGACUCUCCUGCCUCAGCCUCCUGAGUAGCUGGGAUUACAGGAGCCUGCCACCAAGCUAGUUUUUGUAUUUUUAGUAGGGAUGGGGUUUCACUGUGUUGGCCAGGCUGGUCUCAAAGUCCUGAACUCAAGUGAACUGCCUGCCUCGGCCUCCCAAAGUGCUGGGAUUACAGGCGUAAGCCACCGCGCCCAGCCGGCCCCUGGCUUUGGACCUUGGCCCUGUUGUUGAACAGCUCUGCAACUGUGGACAAGGAACUUAAUUUCUCUGUGCUUCAAUUUUGUUCUUGAAAAAGGGGAUAAUGAUAGUAUCUACCUCACUGGGAUGUGUUUUAGGAUUAAAUAUAUACAAAUAAAGCUCCUAGCACAGGACUUGUCAUAUAGUGAACAAACAACAAAUUUUGUUAUAAACACUAAUGUAAUGAGGAUCAAAAUCAUUAGUAUUUGGGUGUUUGUAGCUUUUCCCUUUCCUCUCCUAUUAAAAGCCAGUAUUACUUGGUCAGCAAAUCCUCCUCAGCCCCUUCUCCCACACUGUCCUCUGCUUUGGGGUCUUAUUGGGAAAUGUGGUGAAUGAGUGGGAGAACCAGACCGAGGGGGUGGAUCACCUGAGGUCAGGAGUUUGAGACCAGCCUGACCAACGUGGUGAAAAUUCAUCUCUACUAAAAAUACAAAAAUUAGCCAGGUCCAGUGUCAGGUGCCUGUAAUCCCAGCUACUUGGGAGGCUGAGGCAGAAGAAUUGCUAGAACCCAGAAGGCAAAGGUUGCAGUGAGCCGAGAUUGCACUACUGCACUCUAGCCUGGGCCACAGAGCAAGACUCCGUCUCAAAA
rnacentral:lncRNA from 1 species